rnacentral:tRNA from 1 species
AUUUAAGUAGCUUAAGUUUAAAGCUAAUCAUUGAAAAUGGUUAAAUACGUGUUUAUCGUCUUAAAUA